rnacentral:rRNA from 1 species
AUGUUGUUGCAGCUCAAGAUGCUCUCAGAGGCCAUGUACAGAGGAUACCGCGUCUUGGACACCUCGAGGUACCGAACCCUCCAAGACAGUGCAGGCUUCGAUGAGGUUAGCAUCAAAGACUCAUCUAGCAGCAGCACGUAUUUAGCAAUUCCCCUCAAGCGUUCUCUAACAACAACUGAGAAGGAUGACAAGGCCAUGUGCCUCGAGUCACUAGGUGCCUUGGAAAGCUUAGAAGUCGCUAUUGCUAACAUGGCAGAAUUUGUUCUGCUUCUGGGUGGAUGCGAGCGCAUGUCUCGUAGGCCAUACGACAUCUAUCUUUACACCGACAACUUUAUGUUCGGCCGGCAUGCUGAAAAGCAAAAACUCUUGAGCUUCUUGUUGCAGCACAGACCUGCUGGUGAGGCACCGGCCAUUCUUCCGAUCAUAGGUGGUGCCAAAGUUGGGAAGAAAACUUUGGUUGCUCAUGUGUGUGGCGACGAAAGGGUUCACUCGUGCUUCUCUUCUGUUUUGCACUUAAGUGUUAUUGAGUUUGCUUCUGAUGUAAGUGAUGAUGAGUGGAAAAACUUUCACUCAUUUCUCUUAACAAUGGGCAGAGGAAGCCAUAUCAUCAUCAUAAGUAGAAUUCAAAGAUUAGCCCGAUUUGGAUCCGUGAAACCGAUUUUUCUUAGUGUUCUGUCUUAUGACGAGUGGAGGUACCUAUUCAAGACACUAGCAUUUGGGAGCGUAGACCCGGCAGAACAUCCACGUCUACUAAAAAUAGCAGAUGAAGUUGCCAGGCAGUUGCACACACAAGGUUCACUUGUCGCAACAAAUGCUUACGCAGAUUUGUUGAGAAGAAAUCUCAAUGCCCAGUUUUGGCAUUGCCUAUUGGACAAGGGGAUAAGAAUGAUUAAAAGAAACAUCACCAUGUAUAGUGUGCAUCCAAGCAUGCUUAUAGAACAAGGACACCCGGUGGACAUAAUGGACUUUGCUAAGCAUCCACUUAGCAUGAUACCUUAUACGACUAAUGAUUCAAUCAAGAAGGAAUCACCAAGUGUGACAUUUGGGGAGUUGCUAGCGGAUCCUAGUGUUAGACCGAAAGAAGACUUCAUUCUAAUUUCUUGGGAAUCAAGGAUACCCCCUCAUAAUUUAUUUUCUAAUUUUGUUAUAAGUCGUGCUUAG